rnacentral:rRNA from 1 species
UACGAAGGGGGCUAGCGUUGUUCGGAUUUACUGGGCGUAAAGCGCACGUAGGCGGAUCGUUAAGUGAGGGGUGAAAUCCCAGGGCUCAACCCUGGAACUGCCUUUCAUACUGGCGAUCUAGAGUCCGGAAGAGGUGAGUGGAACUCCUAGUGUAGAGGUGGAAUUCGUAGAUAUUAGGAAGAACACCAGUGGCGAGGGCGGCUCACUGGUCCGGUACUGACGCUGAGGUGCGAAAGCGUGGGGAGCAAACAGG